rnacentral:rRNA from 1 species
UGACAAAGUUUAACGGCCGCGGUACCCUAACCGUGCGAAGGUAGCAUAAUCACUUGUUCUUUAAAUAGGGACUCGUAUCAACGGCAUCACGAGGGCUAUACUGUCUCCUUUCUCCAAUCAGUGAAACUGAUCUUCCCGUGAAGAAGCGGGAAUUAUUAUAUAAGACGAGAAGACCCCAUGGAGCUUUAAACUCAAUAUAUAUUUCUACGCACUUAUAUCACUAUUAGCCUAAGAAAACUAUGUAUUAGUUUUGGGUUGGGGGGACCGCGGAGAAAAAAUUAACCUCCACGACAAAUAGGCCAACGCCUUUAUCUAUGAACCACAAUUCUAAGAAUCAAUAAACUGAUGCUUAAUGAUCCAAUUUUUUGAUCAACGGACCAAGUUACCCUGGGGAUAACAGCGCAAUCUACUUCAAGAGCUCCUAUCGACAAGUGGGUUUACGACCUCGAUGUUGGAUCAGGGUAUCCUAGUGGUGCAGCCGCUACUAAAGGUUCGUUUGUUCAACGAUUAAAACCCUACGUGAUCUGAU